CUCAGUCAGCGCAGCAGAAUUCAGGGGGGAAAGCUGAAUGCAACCCCUGGUGCAGGAAGGGAGGCUUUUCCUGAGGACUGGGAGAGGAUUUUAAGUACAUAGAAGGAAGCUUCUGGAGAUCCUGCUCCGUCGCCCCAGUGUUCAGACUACCUGUUCAGGACAAUGCCGUUGUACAGUAGUCUGCACAUUGGUUAGACUGGGCAAGGGAGAGCAACGCCAUGAACUGCUGGGGACAAAAUGGGCUGUUUCCAAGGAGAAGACAUUUGUUUGCUCCUUUUUUGAAUCUCAUGUCCAGUCUUUUUCUUCACAGGUUUUCCACACGAGGGACCAAGAAGCCCUCGGGACACUGCUGAGAAAAGACCACCGAAGGGAAGACCAGCGGGGAUCAUGGAAUCUAUUCCAGAGGAAACUAACCAACAGUGAACAUCUUCAACUAAAACUACCCCUGGAUAUAAUGGUUGCAUGCAUCAUUCCUUUAAUUGAGCAGAGUUAACUGGAUCAAAUUAUUUAUGGGAGAGAGAGGAAAAGCUAUACAGAAUUACAGUAAUUUUUUAAUUUCUACCAAGAUAUCUUUGCUGAUUGUAUCUAUGAGCAAAGGAAACCUGAAGGAACCAAGGGCCUGGCUGGACAGAGUUGUCAUGUGUCUGCCUGUCUACACUUGCUGUGCAGAACAUCCGCUCACCUGUACAGCAGGCACAGACAGGCAGUCACAUGACAACCCAGCCUGAAUGACAACCAGCCAUUGAAAGAAAGCAGCCCUCACAUGAUAGCAUCUACACCAAGAGCUACAACCAAAAUGAGGGGCUCGGGGACCUGGGGCUUUAAUCUGUUGGUUUAAUACUUACCUCCUAUGUAUUAUUUUGAUUCAAAUAUUAAAACCCACCAAAAGUAAAGUGAGUGGUGCCUAUGGAAUAUAAUAAAACCCAUUUCUGAAAAUGUU